GGUUAAAAAGCUCGUAGUUGGAUCUUGGAAUGUGAACGCGAGGUCGCUUUACUGAGUGAACUUUGUGGCGCAUUCUUCCAUUUGGUCGGUGUGUUUGUGCUCUUAAUUGAGUGCAACAUGCUACCAGAAAUUUUACCUUGAAAAAAUUAGAGUGUUCAAAGCAGACCUUUUUGUGUCUGAAUAUUCGUGCAUGGAAUAAUAAAAUAUGAAUUCGGUUCUAUUCUAUUGGUUUUCGGAACUCGAGUUAAUGAUUAAGAGGGACAGACGGGGGCAUCCGUACUCUGCCGUUAGAGGUGAAAUUCUUGGAUCGGCGGAAGACGCGCAACUGCGAAAGCAUUUGCCAAGAAUGUUUUCUUUAAUCAAGAACGAUAGUCGGAGGUUCGAAGACGAUCAGAUACCGUCCUAGUUUCGACUGUAAACUAUGCCAGCUAACGAUCAGACAGCGUUCUCUACGACUUGUCUGGCAGUUUCCGGGAAACCAAAGCUUUUGGGUUCCGGGGGAAGUAUGGUUGCAAAGCUGAAACUUAAAGGAAUUGACGGAAGGGCACCACCAGGAGUGGAGCCUGCGGCUUAAUUUGACUCAACACGGGGAAACUCACCCGGCCCGGACACAGUGAGGAUUGUCAGAUUGAGAGU
rnacentral:rRNA from 1 species